rnacentral:rRNA from 1 species
GUAACAGAACUAGCUUGCUAGUUGCUGACGAGUGGCGGACGGGUGAGUAAUACUUAGGGAUCUGCCUCUGUGUGGGGGAUAACUAUUGGAAACGAUAGCUAAUACCGCAUAACGUCUACGGACCAAAGAGGGCUUCGGCUCUCGCGCAGAGAGGAACCUAAGCGAGAUUAGCUUGUUGGUGGGGUAAAGGCUCACCAAGGCGACGAUCUCUAGCUGUUCUGAGAGGAAGAUCAGCCACACUGGAACUGAGACACGGUCCAGACUCCUACGGGAGGCAGCAGUGGGGAAUAUUGCACAAUGGGGGCAACCCUGAUGCAGCCAUGCCGCGUGUGUGAAGAAGGCCUUCGGGUUGUAAAGCACUUUCAGUUGUGAGGAAAGGUUAGUAGUUAAUACCUGCUAGCUGUGACGUUAACAACAGAAGAAGCACCGGCUAACUCCGUGCCAGCAGCCGCGGUAAUACGGAGGGUGCAAGCGUUAAUCGGAAUUACUGGGCGUAAAGCGCACGCAGGCGGUCUGUUAAGCUAGAUGUGAAAGCCCCGCGCUCAACGUGGGA